rnacentral:rRNA from 1 species
AUUGAACGCUGGCGGCAGGCCUAACACAUGCAAGUCGAGCGGAGCGGCGGACGGGUGAGUAAUGCCUAGGAAUCUGCAUGGGAGUGGGGGAUAACGUCAGGAAACGGGCGCUAAUACCGCAUCCUAUCAGCUGAGCCUAGGUCGGAAUCGCUAGUUGGUGGGGUAAAGGCCUACCAAGACGACGAUACGUAUCUGGUCUGAGAGGAUGAUCAGUCACACUGGAAAUGAGACACGGUCCAGACUCCGACGGGAGGCAGCAGUGGGGAAUAUUGGACAAUGGGCGAAAGCCUGAUCCAGCCAGGCCGCGUGUGUGAAGAAGGUCUUCGGAUUGUAAAGCACUUUAAGUUGGGAGGCGGUACCAACAGAAUAAGCACCGGCUAACUUCGUGCCAGCAGCCGCGGUAAUUC